rnacentral:tRNA from 1 species
GGAGAGGUGGCCGAGUGGUUGAAGGCGCCGGUCUUGAAAACCGGAGACCCGCAAGGGCCCGCAGGUUCGAAUCCUGUCCUCUCCG